rnacentral:lncRNA from 1 species
UAUGCUUCCAUGAUGACAUUCCAGGAGAACAGGCAUGUCCCGCAAGAGAAUCUUUGUUGUCAUCUUUCAAAGAUUAUUGACGGAACUGCUCACAUGAUCACAUUUGCUAACAGGGUACUUUUGGUGAAUCAUAUGAUUUCAGCUACUCAGCAAACAGAGUGCACCAAAAAUCAUAUGGAUCAUAUGUAACCUGCAAAACAAAUGGAAAGUGUUCUAUGGUUCCCAAUCAUAACUGGGUCCGGAAGGAUUAGAGAUUUUUCUUUAAGAGUGGUAACAAUAGAAGCAACCUUAACAUGCUAAUUCUUAUCU